rnacentral:rRNA from 1 species
CUCGUAGGUGGCUCUGUAAGUAGGUGGUGAAAGCCCACGGCUCAACCGUGGAUACGCCUCCUAAACUGUGGAGCUUGAGGCUGGGAGAGGAAAUCGGAAUUCCUGGUGUAGCGGUGAAAUGCGUAGAUAUCAGGAGGAACACCGGUGGCGAAGGCGGAUUUCUGGACCAGUUCUGACACUGAGGAGCGAAAGCCAGGGAGCAAACG